AACGAACGCUGGCGGCAGGCUUAACACAUGCAAGUCGAACGCACCGCAAGGUGAGUGGCAGACGGGUGAGUAACACGUGGGAACGUACCCCUUUGUUCGGAAUAACCCUGGGAAACUAGGGCUAAUACCGGAUACGGCCGGAAGGCGAAAGGUUUACCGCAGAGGGAUCGGCCCGCGUCCGAUUAGCUUGUUGGUGAGGUAAUGGCUCACCAAGGCAUCGAUCGGUAGCUGGUCUGAGAGGAUGGCCAGCCACAUUGGGACUGAGACACGGCCCAAACUCCUACGGGAGGCAGCAGUGGGGAAUAUUGGACAAUGGGCGCAAGCCUGAUCCAGCCAUGCCGCGUGAGUGAUGACGGCCUUAGGGUUGUAAAGCUCUUUUACCUGGGAAG
rnacentral:rRNA from 1 species